GGGCGAGUGGUGAAAUGGCAGACACGCUAGUCUUAGGAACUAGUGCCGAAAGGCGUAGGGGUUCAAGUCCCCUCUUGCCCACCA
rnacentral:tRNA from 1 species